UGAGGAAUAUUGGUCAAUGGACGAGAGUCUGAACCAGCCAAGUAGCGUGAAGGAUGACUGCCCUAUGGGUUGUAAACUUCUUUUAUAUGGGAAUAAAGUAUUCCACGUGUGGGAUUUUGUAUGUACCAUAUGAAUAAGGAUCGGCUAACUCCGUGCCAGCAGCCGCGGUAAUACGGAGGAUCCGAGCGUUAUCCGGAUUUAUUGGGUUUAAAGGGAGCGUAGGUGGAUUGUUAAGUCAGUUGUGAAAGUUUGCGGCUCAACCGUAAAAUUGCAGUUGAAACUGGCAGUCUUGAGUACAGUAGAGGUGGACGGAAUUCGUGGUGUAGCGGUGAAAUGCUUAGAUAUCACGAAGAACUCCGAUUGCGAAGGCAGCUCACUAGACUGCAACUGACACUGAUGCUCGAAAGUGUGGGUAUCAAACAGGAUUAGAUACCCUGGUAGUCCACACAGUAAACGAUGAAUACUCGCUGUUUGCGAUAUACAGUAAGCGGCCAAGCGAAAGCAUUAAGUAUUCCACCUGGGGAGUACGCCGGCAACGGUGAAACUCAAAGGAAUUGACGGGGGCCCGCACAAGCGGAGGAACAUGUGGUUUAAUUCGAUGAUACGCGAGGAACCUUACCCGGGCUUAAAUUGCAUUUGAAUAAUCUGGAAACAGGUUAGCCGCAAGGCAAAUGUGAAGGUGCUGCAUGGUUGUCGUCAGCUCGUGCCGUGAGGUGUCGGCUUAAGUGCCAUAACGAGCGCAACCCUUAUCUUUAGUUACUAACAGGUUAUGCUGAGGACUCUAGAGAGACUGCCGUCGUAAGAUGUGAGGAAGGUGGGGAUGACGUCAAAUCAGCACGGCCCUUACGUCCGGGGCUACACACGUGUUACAAUGGGGGGUACAGAAGGCAGCUACCUGGCGACAGGAUGCUAAUCCCAAAAACCUCUCUCAGUUCGGAUCGAAGUCUGCAACCCGACUUCGUGAAGCUGGAUUCGCUAGUAAUCGCGCAUCAGCCAUGGCGCGGUGAAUACGUUCCC
rnacentral:rRNA from 1 species